rnacentral:rRNA from 1 species
UAAGGAAUAUUGCGCAAUGGGCGAAAGCCUGACGCAGCGACGCCGCGUGGGGGAUGAAGGUCUUCGGAUUGUAAACCCCUUUCGGGAGGGAAGAUGGAAUGGGGUAACUCAUUCGGACGGUACCUCCAGAAGCAGCCACGGCUAACUUCGUGCCAGCAGCCGCGGUAAUACGAAGGUGGCAAGCGUUAUUCGGAUUUACUGGGCGUACAGGGAGCGUAGGCGGUUUGGUAAGCCCUCUGUGAAAUCUCCAGGCUUAACCUGGAAAAGUCGGAGGGGACUGCUGGGCUAGAGGACGGGAGAGGAGCGCGGAAUUCCCGGUGUAGCGGUGAAAUGCGUAGAGAUCGGGAGGAAGGCCGGUGGCGAAGGCGGCGCUCUGGAACGUUUCUGACGCUGAGGCUCGAAAGCGUGGGGAGCAAACAGGAUUAGAUACCCAUGUAGUCCCUGAGCGGGCUGGCAAGGCGCAU